GUGACGGAUUUUGCAAUUCUCUCUUUUAUUGCAGUUCUAUUUUGUUUUCAAAGAGAUGAUUGCUAAUAAAAGUAAAGACGACGAAUAUCUUGAAAAUGUUUGACAAUGUUUAUUAAGUAUUCCGUCAGGAGUGAUCAGUAAGAAAAGAAUAAGCGAGUCCUGCAAACGGACGAAAGUCCCACCGACCCGACUCUAUGCGCUCACGGCCGAUGAAGACUUCAUCCGGACGCAUCGCUCGCUCGGAAGAGCGUCGUUGCCUCAUCAUUGAAUCUGAGAUGCGACGAUCCAGUGAUAUUGAGUCACUCGAUUACUUCUGAGAACCCUUAUUCUGGCUCACAAAACUAGAAGUCAGGGCUCUGCUUUGAACGCAGACAAUCUUGAACCGCGUGCAAAGCUGAGGAAAGCUGAGGAAAACUGAGGAAAACUGAAGUCUGCAAACGUGCAAUCGCGAUUCGGCACGAUCACUUGGAGGAGGAUUUCCUAGCGCUGGGUCAUCGCAUCCUCCUAUCGUAAAUGGAAGAAGGAGGAGGAGGUUGACGCAUCGCGACCUCCUCAAGGUCCUCAAGAGUUGAAUUUGCGUGGAACACAUGCUACUGCCCGACGAUGCCCCGCUGCUGAACGGGGAUUUGGACGUGAAUGAACAGCUAACUUGCGCGCAGAAUAUUCGCAAGGCGCCGAUAGUUCCAGUAGGAAUAGUAAUUUACACAUUAGCAGAACAAACUACAAACUUUGUGACAUCCAAGCAAACAUUACGUCAUCUUAAAGAAUUAUAUGUUUAAAUCCGUUGCUGAGCGUUCGCUCGUUACCGGUCUAUCGUAUCAGGCCGAGCCGACGUCACGGCGAGCGAAGGUAUUCCGGACGUCGCCGUCGCGGGUCCGUCGGUUAACCUGGCCCAGAAACCGAGCCGGAACUGUCGGUGGAAUCAAUGACCUUGGCGCGCGAGCUCUACUCGUGGCCAUCGGCCUCGAGAAGAAAGUUUCAGCACAUCGGAAGCUUUCAAAAACAGUGACGACGACGUCGACGACGAAGCACAUUUAUUUUAAUUUCAGUUAAAGUUUAGUUAAUUUCAGUUUUAAUUAAACUGGUUUUUAGAACUUUAUUCACACAUAUUCAACAUGACAUAAAUUUCAUUUUGAAACGGUAUAAAAUAAAUUUGAUUAACCACUGAAUCCUGCUUAAAAUUGAUAUUUCAAAGAUAAAGUUUUAUUCGGUGUUUUUUAAAUUGACACUUUGGGAACUUUGUUGUAUUGAAAUGUCCUGAAAUUCUUCGAUAAUGUUUGCACGCGCGAUUAACGCUGGUGUUUCAUGAAGACUUAGUUUAUUAAAGUCAAAACGACUUUAGCGACUCUUUAUAGACACUUGUAUUAGCGGGAACGUAUGAAAUUACGCUCCUCAAGUAAAAUAAGAUCAUGUUAAAGUGAGAUUUGGUUCUCGCGUGAUGUGAAAUAAAAUCAUGUUAAAAUUGCGCGUUUGGUUGACGCACCAUGUCCGGCAUGCGUGACGUAUGUCAAGUUACCGCAAGAAUGCGAAUUUCCAUCGGUGUCGCUAUUCGCUAUGAGAUCGCAUUUAGAGAUCCAGGCCAGUUCCGCCUCCUCCUCGAAAUACGCCAUGCGUCGUCCUGUUCCGUAAUUUCUCUCUUUGGCAGCGUCACAGUAUUUACGCAAACGCGAAUUCCAAACUUUCUUAACACUAUUGACAUUACAAACAUCAAUGUUACAUUCAUGAAAGUCACUUGAUUUUCAUUAAUUAUCAAUAAAUCUCAAUACAUGCACAACCUAAUCUAAAAUUAUUUAAAA